GAAAUGCGAUAAGUAAUGUGAAUUGCAGAAUUCCGUGAAUCAUCGAAUCUUUGAACGCACAUUGCACCCUCUGGCAUUCCGGGGGGGAUGCCUGUCCGAGCGUCAUUACGCACCCUCAAGCCCGGCUUGUGUGAUGGGCCCCGGCGUCUCGUUCGCGAGACGGGCCCGAAAGGCAGCGGCGGCGUCGACCCGAUGAGCCCGAGCGUAUGGGGACUUCUGUCACACGUUCGCGGUGCGGACCGGCGCCUGCUUGACUUUUCUGAUUAUCCAGGUUGACCUCGGAUCAGGUAGGGAUACCCGCUGAACUUAAGC
rnacentral:misc_RNA from 1 species